UUGGCUGAAGCAGGGAGGGUGAAGCAGAGCAGCACGCAUGCGCAGCUUCCCUUGCUCCUCUCCGGAUGCCGCCUCCGCCUCUGAAACACUUUGCCCUUCCUGUACUCAAGUGGGGAGACCUGCGGCACCCUGCGGCUCCACGUGGCUCCCAGGUAAAUAUUCCUAACGCCAAAUCAUACAUGCUCAAGUGGAGACUCGAGCUAUCAAGUCGUUUUUCCCAGUGCUGAGAAUUGAACCCAUAGACUCUGAAAGAACAAGUGUUCUCACCACUGAACCAUCUCUCCAGACCUUUGUUGGGAUUUUCAAAGAUUAAAAUCAACCAAAUAUAAGCCCACUAUCAAAGAUUACCAAAUACCAAAGAAACAAACCACUACUGCCAACUACACUUCACCACCCUGCAAAGGGUUUUAGGUACUAAAAUGGACCGGGAAAGGGGGGUCUUUAUGGAGACCCAGUCCUAGCUGAGGAGCUACUGACAAUUGAUGGCGGCCAGAGGUGAUCAGUUUUCUUCACGGGCGUGGCCCUGGGCCAUUGCCUACGCCCGAUGGAUGGCUUUACACCUAUGUGUGUAUGGCCAGCACAGAGCCCAUGGAAGGCAAAGAGCACAUGAAGUUGGGAGGAGGACUUGGUCAGGAGUCCGAGAGGAGUUGGAGGGAAGAAGAGGGUUAGAUUAAACAAAAUC